UAAGCCUGUGAAGGUGUGUCGUGAGGCAUGCUGGAGGUAUCAGAAGUGCGAAUGCUGACAUAAGUAACGAUAAAGCGGGUGAAAAGCCCGCUCGCCGGAAGACCAAGGGUUCCUGUCCAACGUUAAUCGGGGCAGGGUGAGUCGACCCCUAAGGCGAGGCCGAAAGGCGUAGUCGAUGGGAAACGGGUUAAUAUUCCCGUACUUGGUGUUACUGCGAAGGGGGGACGGAGAAGGCUAUGUUGGCCGGGCGACGGUUGUCCCGGUUUAAGCGUGUAGGUGUGUGUUCCAGGUAAAUCCGGUUCACUUUAACACUGAGGCGUGACGACGAGGCACUACGGUGCUGAAGCAACAAAUGCCCUGCUUCCAGGAAAAGCCUCUAAGCAUCAGGUAACAUCAAAUCGUACCCCAAACCGACACAGGUGGUCAGGUAGAGAAUACCAAGGCGCUUGAGAGAACUCGGGUGAAGGAACUAGGCAAAAUGGUGCCGUAACUUCGGGAGAAGGCACGCUGACACGUAGGUGAAGUGAUUUACUCAUGGAGCUGAAGUCAGUCGAAGAUACCAGCUGGCUGCAACUGUUUAUUAAAAACACAGCACUGUGCAAACACGAAAGUGGACGUAUACGGUGUGACGCCUGCCCGGUGCCGGAAGGUUAAUUGAUGGGGUCAGCGCAAGCGAAGCUCCUGAUCGAAGCCCCGGUAAACGGCGGCCGUAACUAUAACGGUCCUAAGGUAGCGAAAUUCCUUGUCGGGUAAGUUCCGACCUGCACGAAUGGCGUAAUGAUGGCCAGGCUGUCUCCACCCGAGACUCAGUGAAAUUGAACUCGCUGUGAAGAUGCAGUGUACCCGCGGCAAGACGGAAAGACCCCGUGAACCUUUACUAUAGCUUGACACUGAACAUUGAGCCUUGAUGUGUAGGAUAGGUGGGAGGCUUUGAAGUGUGGACGCCAGUCUGCAUGGAGCCGACCUUGAAAUACCACCCUUUAAUGUUUGAUGUUCUAACGUGGACCCGUGAUCCGGGUUGCGGACAGUGUCUGGUGGGUAGUUUGACUGGGGCGGUCUCCUCCUAAAGAGUAACGGAGGAGCACGAAGGUUGGCUAAUCCUGGUCGGACAUCAGGAGGUUAGUGCAAUGGCAUAAGCCAGCUUGACUGCGAGCGUGACGGCGCGAGCAGGUGCGAAAGCAGGUCAUAGUGAUCCGGUGGUUCUGAAUGGAAGGGCCAUCGCUCAACGGAUAAAAGGUACUCCGGGGAUAACAGGCUGAUACCGCCCAAGAGUUCAUAUCGACGGCGGUGUUUGGCA
rnacentral:rRNA from 1 species